rnacentral:rRNA from 1 species
AUUGAACGCUGGCGGCAGGCCUAACACAUGCAAGUCGAGCGCGCGGCGGACGGGCGAGUAAUGUAUGGGGACUGCCCCAUAGCGGGGCAUAACUACUGGAAACGGUCGCUAAUACCGCAUACUAUCGGCUCACCCAUAUGGGCUUCGCUAGUAGGUGAGGUAAUGGCUCACCUAGGCGACGAUCCCUAGCUGGUCUGAGAGGAUGAUCAGCCACACUGGGACUGAUACACGGCCCAGACUCCAACGGAGGCAGCAGUGGGUAAUAUUGCACAAGGGGCGCAAGCCUGAUGAAGCUAUGCCGCGUGUAUGAAGAAGGCCCUAGGGUUGUGAGGUAGUUUCAGUCGUGAGGCGUUGCCGACAGAAGAAGCAGCGGCUAAGUCCGUGCCAGCAGCCGCGGUAAUUC